UACAGAGGGGGCAAGCGUUGUUCGGAAUUACUGGGCGUAAAGGGCGCGUAGGCGGCCUUCUAAGUCGAACGUGAAAUCCCCCGGCUUAACCUGGGAACUGCGUCUGAUACUGGACGGCUUGAGUAUGGGAGAGGGAUGUAGAAUUCCAGGUGUAGCGGUGAAAUGCGUAGAUAUCUGGAGGAAUACCGGUGGCGAAGGCGGCAUCCUGGACCAUUACUGACGCUGAGGCGCGAAAGCUAGGGGAGCAAACGGG
rnacentral:rRNA from 1 species